rnacentral:lncRNA from 1 species
GUUCGAUUCUGCGGUUCCCACCUCUUGAAAACAUUUAUCAUGGGGUCUGGGCCCGGUCCUUCGAUUCCCGUCCGCCAUAGUCCGGCUGAUCACAUCGCAGGGGUGGGCAGCCUGUGGAAGGACUUGUUUCGUUUCGCCCUGCCACUUAGUACGCUUUCUAAGUGGAAAGUGAUGUCAUCUGUUAUCAAAAAGGAUCCCCACGACAUACUUAAAUUUCUCCUUGCUAAAAUCUUCCUUUUCCGAAUUUGUUUACUUCCCUCAGAAUAUUAUUGACUAUUCCUAUUAGUAUAGCUAGUGGGGACGUUCAUUUUCGCGAAUGAAAAUAAUAAUAAACAACUUGAGAUCAUCUAUUUUAAGAGAGAUUGACAAACUUAUCGCUUAUUGUUAUUGAAAAUGAUGCAUG